rnacentral:sRNA from 1 species
GUCUGCACUUGUCGGGGAAGGGUGAGAACCUUCGACUAAGGUUCGAUUCGAGCGAAAGCGAGAGAACGUUGCCAACGGCAACGGCCCGUAGGGCGAAGCGCGCAGCGCUGAGUCAUCCUUCCCCCACCACCA